rnacentral:tRNA from 1 species
UCCCUGAUGGUCCAGUGGCUAAGACUCUGCACUCUCAUUGCAGGGUGCAUGGUUCAAUCCCUGGUCAGGGAA